rnacentral:rRNA from 1 species
GACGAACGCUGGCGGCGCGCUUAACACAUGCAAGUCGAACGGAAAGGCCUGCUUUCCCUUGUGGAUUGCGGGUACUCGAGUGGCGAACGGGUGAGUAACACGUGAGUGAUCUGCCCCCAACUUGGGUAUAAGCCUGGGAAACUGGGUCUAAUUCCCGAUAGGACUGCAGGGUGGUGCCUGUGGUGGAAAACGAUUUUCUAGUGGUUGGGGAUGAGCUCGCGGCCUAUCAGCUUGUUGGUGGGGUAAUGGCCUACCAAGGCGGCGACGGGUAGCCGGCCUGAGAGGGUGGACGGCCACAUUGGGACUGAGAUAAGGCCCAGACUCCUACGGGAGGCAGCAGUGGGGAAUAUUGCACAAUGGGCGGAAGCCUGAUGCAGCGACGCCGCGUGGGGGAUGACGGCCUUCGGGUUGUAAAUUCCUUUCGACCGCGAGGAAGCCACCUGGUUGGAAGGGUGGUGACGGUAGUGGUAGAAGAAGCACCGGCUAACUACGUG